rnacentral:lncRNA from 1 species
GCCUUGACCAUCUCGGACGGUUGCCCCAAAUCUGCAGACAUUUUAGAUAAUUCGACAUCCUGCUUUGAAUACCGUUUCCUGGAAUUCCUGGUCAACCCUGAGCCAAGCACCAGGGGUGAGCUCGUUGUUUCUGAUGCUCUGAUCUAAUCCCGGCACAUGACCAUGAGCCUGACUGUGGGUGGCAUCUGUGACCUGCAGUCAGUUUUCAGUCAUUUCCAAAGUCUUCACAACGGACCUUCCUCUCAGAGGGAACACUUUUCUGGAAACCGACUUAGUGACCAUGUCUGAGAUGAUGCCUUCCAGACUGUGAAGCAUGAAAGUCAAGAUCAUCAAAGAACUCGGAUUUGUUCUCCUUGCCCACCACUCAGCUCCUCACUCACAAAGUGGGAUUUUGUCCAUUAUUUUCAAUAGCAAAAUCUCUGCUAUUGUUAUAAACGAGUUCGUUACAAUAUUUCCUUAUUUUUAAAAGUUGUGCUCAUUGUAAAAAUACAACUAGCCAAACAAUACAUAAAUAAUAACAAAAACAAACUUUAAUUCUCAAUCCUGCACUUAGGUAACUUGGGAUGUGUUUUGCCAUAAAAACUGUUAUAAGCAACACACACAUACAAAUGCGUAACCGUGGCCCUUUUUCAUAAAAAUGAAGUCUCC